rnacentral:rRNA from 1 species
UAAAAUCUUAUUUAUAUAAAUUUAUCUCGAAUUGGGGGGAUCUAAAAAUUUAUUUAUUUUAAUGUAAAAUAAUUAUUUAUAAUAUUUUUUUUGUAAUUAUACGUUAGUCGAACCUUAAUAUAUCUAGUUUUCUAAGAAAUUAAUUAAAUUAAAUUUAACACGAUGAUUUUGAAUUAUUUAUAAUGAUUAAUUAAAUGUUAAAAAAUGGAGAAUGGGAUAAUCUAUUUUUCUUAUUUUUAUAAUUUUUCCAUAAAAAAUAAAUCAUAGAAUUAGAAGUGUUCAUUGUUAAAAGUUUGUUAUAAAUUAUUAUUUUAUAAAUUGAUUUUCUUUAAGUUUAGAUUUUUUAUUAGAAAAUUUGUUUAAGCUGAGUAUUCAAAGAUAUAAUGAUAGAAUUAGUAUAAUUAAAUGUUUACAUAUACAAAAAUGAAAGGUUAUUCUAAGGAACUUGGCAUAAACUUUUUGCCUGUUUAAUAAAAACAUGUCCUCUGGAGAUCAUAUGAGGUCAGACCUGCCCAAUGAUAAUUUGAAUGGCCGCGGUAUUUUGACCGUGCAAAGGUAGCAUAAUAAUUAGUUUUUUAAUUGAAAGCUUGUAUGAAUGGUUUGACAAGAAAGUUUCUGUCUCAGUGUAAUUUUAUUAAAAAUUUAUUUUUAAGUUAAAAAGCUUAAAUGAUUUUAGGGGACGAGAAGACCCUAUAGAAUUUUAUAGGCUUAAUAGUAGGUUUUUGUUAUUUAUAAUUACUAUUAUUUAUCUUAUUUUGUUGGGGUGACAGGAAAAUUGAAUUAACUUUUCUUUUAAUAGUUCAUUGAUUUAUGAUUUGUUGAUCCAAUAUUUGAUUAUAAGAACAAAUUACCUUAGGGAUAACAGCGUAAUUUAGUUAGAGAGUUCUUAUCGAUAGCUAAGUUUGCGACCUCGAUGUUGGAUUAAAAUUAAUUUUUGGUGCAGAAGCUGGAAAAUUAAGUCUGUUCGACUUUUAAAAUUUU